AAAAACCCAACCAGCACCAGUCUCCCUCACUCUCUCCAUUCCCGCACAGUCCUUAGAUCUCACCCCCCCCGCGCGCACCCUCGUCUCCCGCGGCGGCGGCGGCGAGGUGCAUGAACGCGGCGUGCGGCGCGCCCGCCCCGACGGCGGCGGGGGUGGGCGAGUGGAGGAAGGACUGGCCGCUGCGAUCCGGCGGCUUCGCCGUGCUCUGCGACAAGUGCGGAGUUUGAAAGAACUCAUACAAAAUGAGACGGUGCCCUGCCCCAUUGACAUAGUUAAUAACGCUAUUGACGAUCACCUAGCCAAGAGGCUCACCGAACUGUGUGGUUCCGAGAACAAAUUAGCUGUGGGAAGUGCUGAAUAUAAAAGAAUAAUUGAAAUGAACCUGGGAAUAACCUGUCUUUAUGUUGAUGUUCCGGAUUGUGAGAUCAUAAUUUGGAGAUGAAUCCCGUGCGUACUUUACUUGGUUUCCCGACAGGAGACAUGACUAUUGUGCUGCUAUAUGAAGCACCCGUUGGCAUUGCAAUUUUCUCUUUUGAUGGGGACUACCUCAAUGAUCCAGCAAAGGACUUUUGAGUCUGAAAGAAUUCGUACGAAAUGAGACGGUGCCCUCCCCAGUUGACAUAGCUAAUAAUGCUAUUGACGAUCACCUGGCCAAGAGGCUCACCGACUUGUGUGGUUAUGAGAAGAAAUUAGUUGUAGGGUGUACUGAAUGUAAAGUAAUAAUUGAAAAGAACCUGGGAAUAACAUGUCUGCAUGUUGACGUUCCGGAUUGUGAAAUGAGAAUUUGCACUCAGAAGAAGCCCAUGCAUACUUUAUCGCCUAAAAGACUAUCAGAUCCUACUGAAGAUUCAACGAUAUUCUUACAUCAACAUGACAUUACUUGCAAGCUCGAGACGGUUAACGACUAUUGUUAAGGAAGCUCAUCGCUUGCAUCAAAUCGAAUUGCGUGAAAAGGAACAUUUGAAGUUCUUGCGCCUUCUUCUUAAGGAUUUUAUGAUUAAAUAUGGCAUUGACACUGAGAAUUGGAUUCUGACCCAAUUUGCAACAGCUCUGAAGAUUAUUGUUUUAUGCCCCUGGAGCAUCGGGUGAACAUAUACCUGGAGGUACAUGUGAUGAGGUCGUCUGUUCCGUUGGCUUGCUGUGUGGAGUCCCCAUAUGGAACUAUUAAAAAAAAGGCAUGUCCAACAGACUCAGCCAGAUGAAGGCCGUCGAAGAUCACAAGGGCAGCUUGCUAUUGUACAGGAUUUCAACACAUAAGGGCAGCUUGUUACAUUUUACAGAAACUCAUGAUGUUGGCAAUGGUAAGGGGGCGAAAUCAUGAAGGCACGGUUGGGUUGCAAGGUGCUCAAACUCUCAUAUUGCGAUUUGCCUACAACUUUGUUGGUAUGUUUGGUUGUUUGUAGUUUGUUUCUGUGACCUGUACUAAACUAUAUAGCAGCUAUUUGCAGUCUGACAUACAUCUGCAUAUACAAAACUCAGAGAAGUCAUGGAAAAAACUUGCUGUUAAGCAACUAUAUGGGCGUCAGAAAGAACUUCAGUCAUUUGUUUGAAGCGCAGAUCUGUACACGAAUACCCUAGAAACAUGAGUAGUCUCGUAGAUCUUUUAGCAGGUAUUGAACAUGAGUCCAUCAGGAUCGCCCUGAUUUGUACACGAAGACCUUACAAACAAAACCCAUGUUCAUACCUGGGGUUGAAACCGUACAGCAUACCUGGGGUUGAAACCACCCUGCGUCCUCAGCGGCGCCGACGGGAGCUCCUACGUCUGUGGCGGCGAUCCAGAAACGUGGAUGCGAGAUCCGUCUGGCGGCGGCGCUGUCGAGUGCGCAGAUCGCACGACGGCUGCGCAGAUCGCACGACGGUGGCGAUCCAGAUGGAAUCAGGUGGCGAGAUCCGGCGGGGUCUGGGGAUUGGCAGCAGGGCGAUCCCGCUGGACUCAGGCGGCGCUGUUUCUUUGGGCUACGUGGGUGGGGUUGGGUGGGUGGGUGUGGGGGUGAGGGGACGAAAAAAACCAGACAAAAAAAAACCCAGACGAAAGUGGUGGGACGAAAAAAAGCCGUGGACGCAAUCCUACCAACUCAGACAUUAGGAGUAGAGAUGGACGAGUUGGUUGAAUAGUACGGUUUAUUUUCGUCCCACCACUUUCAAUCGUUUUUUUUUUCGCUGGUUUUUUCCGUCUCCCCUCCCACCACCCUACCAGUUUAUCUUUUCACCACUAUUUCCUUAUAAACAAACACUUUCCUACCGUACAAAAAGUCAUAAAUCUAACUUUCCUAACUUAGCCUAAUCAAUCGAUCCAUCUCAUUAAUGGAAUUUGCUUUAGGAAACAAAUAAUGGAUUUGAAGGAAACAAAUAAAGGACUUUUAAGGGAAAAUCCAAUUGACUAAUCGACAAAUAUGUAUAUGAACCUUCCUUCUUCAAAACUCCACUCGGUCCUGAUGGUAGGUAUCGACGUUGUUUCGUUCGUCCUCCCUCAAACAUGUAAAAAAGGAAACUCCUCCCGCAAAACAGCCAUGAUUCACGGACGCGGGAUCAUUCCCCACCAAGAUUCCCAUCCCUCCGCGAAUCUACACGUCGACAUUUUGCCAUUCACAUCCGUGCCAGAUCCCUCACCGCAUUGUCUCCCCCAUCCCUCAUUGCACCAUGGCAGCUCCCUCCAUAGCACCACAUCGGCUUAUAGUCACGUCGCGCUAGGUAUGGGUCCACGGGAGCUAGCGCCCGGCGGCCCCAGGUCCAGUGUUACUCGUUCCCGCCACCGGCCUCGCCACCUACAUCGACGGCGGGAUCCGCAGCCUCCUCCUUCUAUUGGGCGAUACAAGGAUCCGAUGUUGUGUGCUGCUCCAUCUACACGCUUUCUUUCUUAUAGGAAUCGGCUUCGCAGAUAUUCAGUAGCUGAAGUCUCCCGAUUGAUAACAUACACAUCGAGGCCCGGAUACACAAGAGGCAGUACCAAGCAGCUACAACUCUCCGGCGACAGCAACAACAAGGCAUG